rnacentral:rRNA from 1 species
GAUGAACGCUGGCGGCGUGCCUAAUACAUGCAAGUCGAGCGAACAGACGAGGAGCUUGCUCCUCUGACGUUAGCGGCGGACGGGUGAGUAACACGUGGAUAACCUACCUAUAAGACUGGGAUAACUUCGGGGAACCGGAGCUAAUACCGGAUAAUAUAUUGAACCGCAUGGUUCAAUAGUGAAAGACGGUUUUGCUGUCACUUAUAGAUGGAUCCGCGCCGCAUUAGCUAGUUGGUAAGGUAACGGCUUACCAAGGCAACGAUGCGUAGCCGACCUGAGAGGGUGAUCGGCCACACUGGAACUGAGACACGGUCCAGACUCCUACGGGAGGCAGCAGUAGGGAAUCUUCCGCAAAGGGCGAAAGCCUGACGGAGCAACGCCGCGUGAGUGAUGAAGGUCUUCGGAUCGUAAAACUCUGUUAUUAGGGAAGAACAAAUGUGUAAGUAACUAUGCACGUCUUGACGGUACCUAAUCAGAAAGCCACGGCUAACUACGUG